UAAUAAGUGUUUUAUGGCACUUUUUAAAUCCAUAUCCACCUUGUGUGCAAUGUCAGUCGGUUUUCUUUUUCGUCAAGAAAAAAAGGAUCGACCAAAUAUCAACUUAUUCUAAUUGAACUUUUGUCUGAAAACUAUUAUGAAUAAACUAAUUCAAAAUA
rnacentral:misc_RNA from 1 species